GGUUAAGCGACUAAGCGUACACGGUGGAUGCCCUGGCAGUCAGAGGCGAUGAAGGACGUGCUAAUCUGCGAAAAGCGUCGGUAAGGUGAUAUGAACCGUUACAGCCGGCGAUGUCCGAAUGGGGAAACCCAGUGCAAUUCGUUGCACUAUCGUUAACUGAAUACAUAGGUUAACGAGGCGAACCGGGGGAACUGAAACAUCUAAGUACCCCGAGGAAAAGAAAUCAACCGAGAUUCCCCCAGUAGCGGCGAGCGAACGGGGAGCAGCCCAGAGUCUGAAUCAGCUUGUGUGUUAGUGGAACGGUCUGGAAAGUCCGACGGUACAGGGUGAUAGUCCCGUACACCAAAAUGCACAGGCUGUGAACUCGAAGAGUAGGGCGGGACACGUGGUAUCCUGUCUGAAUAUGGGGGGACCAUCCUCCAAGGCUAAAUACUCCUGACUGACCGAUAGUGAACCAGUACCGUGAGGGAAAGGCGAAAAGAACCCCGGCGAGGGGAGUGAAAAAGAACCUGAAACCGUGUACGUACAAGCAGUGGGAGCACCUUCGGGUGUGACUGCGUACCUUUUGUAUAAUGGGUCAGCGACUUAUAUUCUGUAGCAAGGUUAACCGUAUAGGGGAGCCGCAGGGAAACCGAGUCUUAACUGGGCGUUAAGUUGCAGGGUAUAGACCCGAAACCCGGUGAUCUAGCCAUGGGCAGGUUGAAGGUUGGGUAACACUAACUGGAGGACCGAACCGACUAAUGUUGAAAAAUUAGCGGAUGACUUGUGGCUGGGGGUGAAAGGCCAAUCAAACCGGGAGAUAGCUGGUUCUCCCCGAAAGCUAUUUAGGUAGCGCCUCGUGAAUUCAUCUUCGGGGGUAGAGCACUGUUUCGGCUAGGGGGUCAUCCCGACUUACCAACCCGAUGCAAACUACGAAUACCGAAGAAUGUUAUCACGGGAGACACACGGCGGGUGCUAACGUCCGUCGUGAAGAGGGAAACAACCCAGACCGCCAGCUAAGGUCCCAAAGUCACAGUUAAGUGGGAAACGAUGUGGGAAGGCACAGACAGCCAGGAUGUUGGCUUAGAAGCAGCCAUCAUUUAAAGAAAGCGUAAUAGCUCACUGGUCGAGUCGGCCUGCGCGGAAGAUGUAACGGGGCUAAACUGUGCACCGAAGCUGCGGCAGCGACACUAUGUGUUGUUGGGUAGGGGAGCGUUCUGUAAGCCUGCGAAGGUGGCCUGUGAGGGUUGCUGGAGGUAUCAGAAGUGCGAAUGCUGACAUAAGUAACGAUAAUGCGGGUGAAAAGCCCGCACGCCGGAAGACCAAGGGUUCCUGUCCAACGUUAAUCGGGGCAGGGUGAGUCGACCCCUAAGGCGAGGCCGAAAGGCGUAGUCGAUGGGAAACAGGUUAAUAUUCCUGUACUUGGUGUUACUGCGAAGGGGGGACGGAGAAGGCUAUGUUAGCCGGGCGACGGUUGUCCCGGUUUAAGCAUGUAGGCGGAGGUUCCAGGUAAAUCCGGUACCUUUUUAACGCUGAGGUGUGAUGACGAGGCACUACGGUGCUGAAGUAACAAAUGCCCUGCUUCCAGGAAAAGCCUCUAAGCAUCAGGUAACAUUAAAUCGUACCCCAAACCGACACAGGUGGUCAGGUAGAGAAUACCAAGGCGCUUGAGAGAACUCGGGUGAAGGAACUAGGCAAAAUGGUGCCGUAACUUCGGGAGAAGGCACGCUGAUAUGUAGGUGAAGCCCCUGCGGGUGGAGCUGAAAUCAGUCGAAGAUACCAGCUGGCUGCAACUGUUUAUUAAAAACACAGCACUGUGCAAACACGAAAGUGGACGUAUACGGUGUGACGCCUGCCCGGUGCCGGAAGGUUAAUUGAUGGGGUUAUCCGUAAGGAGAAGCUCUUGAUCGAAGCCCCGGUAAACGGCGGCCGUAACUAUAACGGUCCUAAGGUAGCGAAAUUCCUUGUCGGGUAAGUUCCGACCUGCACGAAUGGCGUAAUGAUGGCCAGGCUGUCUCCACCCGAGACUCAGUGAAAUUGAACUCGCUGUGAAGAUGCAGUGUACCCGCGGCAAGACGGAAAGACCCCGUGAACCUUUACUAUAGCUUGACACUGAACAUUGAGCCUUGAUGUGUAGGAUAGGUGGGAGGCUUUGAAGCGUGGACGCCAGUCUGCGUGGAGCCAACCUUGAAAUACCACCCUUUAAUGUUUGAUGUUCUAACGUUGGCCCCUUAUCGGGGUUGCGGACAGUGUCUGGUGGGUAGUUUGACUGGGGCGGUCUCCUCCCAAAGAGUAACGGAGGAGCACGAAGGUUAGCUAAUCCUGGUCGGACAUCAGGAGGUUAGUGCAAUGGCAUAAGCUAGCUUGACUGCGAGCGUGACGGCGCGAGCAGGUGCGAAAGCAGGUCAUAGUGAUCCGGUGGUUCUGAAUGGAAGGGCCAUCGCUCAACGGAUAAAAGGUACUCCGGGGAUAACAGGCUGAUACCGCCCAAGAGUUCAUAUCGACGGCGGUGUUUGGCACCUCGAUGUCGGCUCAUCACAUCCUGGGGCUGAAGUAGGUCCCAAGGGUAUGGCUGUUCGCCAUUUAAAGUGGUACGCGAGCUGGGUUUAGAACGUCGUGAGACAGUUCGGUCCCUAUCUGCCGUGGGCGCUGGAGAAUUGAGGGGGGCUGCUCCUAGUACGAGAGGACCGGAGUGGACGCAUCACUGGUGUUCGGGUUGUCAUGCCAAUGGCAUUGCCCGGUAGCUAAAUGCGGAAGAGAUAAGUGCUGAAAGCAUCUAAGCACGAAACUUGCCCCGAGAUGAGUUCUCCCUGACUCCUUGAGAGUCCUGAAGGAACGUUAAAGACGAUGACGUUGAUAGGUCGGGUGUGUAAGCGUAGCGAUACGUUGAGCUAACCGAUACUAAUGAACCGUGAGGCUUAACCUU
rnacentral:rRNA from 1 species